rnacentral:rRNA from 1 species
CAGUCGUACUAACGGGAAAUCAACCUAUUUGAGUUUGUGAGGUUUGGAUUCCGAAGAGUGUAAACCUUCGGGUUCGAAUAUUUGCUGCUUUUUAGGCGUAAUUUCUCGUUCGGUAGGUUAACAUCGAUUUUGGACGCCAUAAAAUGGCUGGAGGAAUGUAGCUUCGAUCUCGUAUUGAAGUGUUAUAGCCUUCGGUAGAUGCGGUUUUCGAGGAUUGAGGAUUGCAACGGAUACCCUUCGGGGCUACCUAUCUGAUCUCUGAUCGUUGCUCUGGUGCCGAAAGCUUGCUUACGGUUAUCAAAGUCGAUGGUCAAUAUGUUAGAAUAGGUUAAAUUCGUUAAGGAUGUUG